ACCUUGGGCGCUCCGAUGUCCAGAAUAUGGUGAAAUCGUACCCAUCCUGCUGGACACAGAAGCACCCGUCAACUACCUCCUCCCGGUCCAGCAUCAUCAUCAGCCAAGGCCGCAGAAGGUCAAGACGGUGCGAGACGCCCACACCAUACGAAAGCCAGACCGGCCCGGGUCAGCACCGACGAGGCAGUAAGGGGGAUUGUUCUGGACGCAGGUGUAAAGGUCCAGUAAGUUUUUCUCCCCCAUUUGGCGCGCCUCACUUUCCUGGCAGGUUGCCAGCCACAGUAGUCGGAGCUGCGCUGUUUGCUGAUAAUACUGCUCGCCGCCUCAAAACACGCAGAAACCUUUAAAACAAAUCUCUGCAGCAUCGCAGCGAUACUCAAGGAUGUUUAAAUGUACGGCUGUACCUGCUCCGAAUUCCAAAAAGAUGUUUGAACUCACUCUUUUUUUUGUUUUUGGACGGGAGCUCUGCAACACCACACCUCCUCGCGUAACCUGCUUGGAGGGGAUGAUGUUAAACGCCGAGCUGUAGAAUAGGAACAACUGCCUGACGUAUGUAACAAAGUCUAAUUUUUGCCAGUUGUAAGAGAAUUCUAGAUGCAUAAAUACAAGAUAAAUGAGAGUUUAAUGUAUUUGCAAAUAGCAACCAGCCUACAAUUUGCUCAUCUACCAGAACCAAGUCAACCAACUGUAAUAGCCAUUAUGUCCACUGAAAUAUUUAUGUUGUGAUUUUAUGUCAUUCUUAAUCUGUGUAAUAAAGUCCAAGAGGACCAAGAGAUUCAUAUCUGUUUGUAUUCAUUUAGUGCCUCAUUUUAUCAUCUUUUGCAAUUUGAUGCAUCAAUAAAUGUUCAGAAAAAUAUUCAAUUAUGAUUCAUAGGUGCACAAGAAUGCCCAUGAAGAUUUUCCUAAAUUUCAGCUGUUGGUAAAACUGUGUAAAUCCCAGGUAACGUGAUAAUAUCUGCUAGAUUUCUUUGAUUUAAAUCAGCAUCUGCAGUUCUUUCCUACACAUUAGUACACAUUCCUUCUCUCCAGAGAUGCUGCUUGUCUCGCUGACUUACUCCAGCAUUUUGUGUCUAGCUUUAGUAAAACCUAAGUUGAUUUAAAAAUAUCCCAUUGAAUUAUUUUGUUUUAAGGAAUAGCAUUAUCUUAAUUAUGUAGCUUCUAUGAUAAUGGCAAUUCUCCUGGUCCACAUUAAUGCAAAGCAAGUAAUGGAAGAGAAAGCUCAGCAGGUGGCUUGAAUUAUCAUAGUUUUAUUUUUAUUGUGAUGCUGUACCAAUAUUAUUAGCAAGCAUAGAAAAUCAAAGCAUUUUUUUCCUUUGUACUACAACUGAAAAUGUUGAUCAGUAGUAGGUGCAUUUGUCCAUGAUAAUAUUAGCUGGAGUAACUAUCACCCAGCUCUUGUGGUGACAAAUUGUCAUUCUGACACUGACACCACUCUCUGGUGCGUUUUGUGACAAUACGAUUGGGCUAAAUAGGAUAGAAUUAGAAUAAAUUGCACAGUUCAAAACUUAGUGAAAUAUCAGUUGAUGAAGAAUUGUAUGCCAUCAUAAUUUCUGGUCUGAAAAAAGGUUUCAACCCGAAACAUCAUCCAUUCCUUCACUCCAGAGUUGCUGCCUGUCCUGCUGAGUUACUCCAACAAUUUGUCUAUCUUCGGUUUAAACCAGCAACUGCAGUUCCUUCCUACCAAGAGCGGAACUCGCUAUCAAAACAUGGAGGGGACAGGGGACACAAUUUGUUGGCGGCCACGCGCGCAUGCCCACACUCACACACAUGCACGCACGAGGCUUCGGAGGCUCAAUCGAGCGCUAAAUGAAGCUCAACUCUGCCUGUCUCACCGGGUUAACUACAGCCCUGUCUGGACUGACGGGAUACCAGCGCUGCUUCUCCGCGCUGGCCAUAUUUCCCACAAGUCCAUCCAGGGUUGUACUUCACUUGGCGGGACAGGCAGAGUUGAGCUGGGUUUAGCGCUGUUUCUCUGUGCUGGUUGUGGGCCUGGGGGCACAGCUUGCAUUUGACCCGACCUCUCUGGCCACCCGUGGGGGGGGGGGGGGCACUCGGGACAGCGCCGGAGACCCAGCCGUGAUCGAUCCUGCCUGCGGAUGAGGCGCAGGCAUUCUGUCUGGAGCGAGGAUGGCUUGCAUACAAUCUAUUUACGUGGGCCUGCGACUACUGCUGAGGCAAAUGGAGGAUCUGCAGACGUUUCCACAGAUGGCACAAAAGAGAAAGAAAAUAAAGAAUUUCAAGAAAAACACGAAAAAGGAAAAAGGAAAACCCCAGAACUAAUGAAGGAGUGAAAGAAGCAGAGAUAUAUCCCACUGCCCUUCCAUUCGCCUGCCCACUAGCGUCGGUUUUGAGUUUGUGUUCAACCAUUUUGUUGUUGAAGAAAUUCAAUAAAAGGAGACCAUAUUUUGGAAAAUUGAUCUGGUUUGUCAAUCAAGACAAGACUUAUUUUUUCUAGAUGUAGUGUCUGGGUCAUUUCUGUAAUCCACAUCUUCACUGUGGGGACUGUUAUCUUUUUCCAGAAUUUAAGUAUAAGUUUUUUCGCAGUUAUUAAACCAUAGUCAACGAAGCGUCUUUGAAAUAUCGUUAGAUUAGGGCAGCCCUCUGACAUUCCUAAUAUUAUUAGAUUUGGAUCUGGCUCCAAUUGAGUGUUUCAGAAAUAAUAUUGAAUAUUUCCGUCCACAAGUUUUGUAUUUUUAUACAGGAUACCAAAGAAUGAGUUAGGGUGGCUUCUUGAAAGUGACAUUUAUCACAAAGAGGGGAGACAGUUGGGAAGAUCUUGUUCAAUUUGGUCUUUGAGUAGUAUAACCUAUGCAAUAUUUUAAAUUGUAUCAAGCAAUGCCUGGCAUUUAAAGAACGGUAGUGUAUGUAUCGUAGGCUUUCCUCCCAUAUAUCUUUCGAAAUGGGUAAACCCAGCUCGUCCUCCCAUGUUCGCCUAUACAGCUCAGAGGGUGGGGUGUCAAUA